ACCACCUACGGUUGAUUACAUUUCUGUAGCGUUCGAAUAUUGAGUAAGACAUCGUUGUGCCAGGUGCCUCACCCGGUGCCCCUGGGAAACUCGUACCUAUGUUCGGGGCUGGCCAAGCAUGGUCCGCACUGCCUAGACUGUGUGCUUGGGCCCGGGGGACUGCACAGACGGUCUGGAAGUUUCCAACAGGCCCUGGCCAAGAAGGUUUAGCCAGAGGCACUUUUCUUCUGAGAGAAGAGGCCGAUGGUCAGUUGGAACCCAGUUUCCUGAUCCCCAAAGGGCGUCUGUGGGGAAUGUGACAAAACAGGACGAAAAUAGCAUCCAGCUCCAGCAGGAAAGUUUAGGGCAGACCCCGAGAGUGCAGGGGGUAAAACUUAUCCCUAAAGACAUGGUGAAGAAUUGGGGGGAGGGGGAGGGGUUUGUGUUUUUCCCCCAGAAUGGUCCCAGAGCAGUGGUGGCUGGAGCGGGCCCAAGAUGGCUCUUCCAUUGUUCAUCUCGGAUAACUCCGGGCAGCAUGCCUCUGCCGUCUGCGUGUUCUGCCCGGCCAGCGCCCAUGGCUACAUGCUUUUACCCAGGGGCACGGUCAUUGUUGCCAACCCCGCCCCGAGCAAAUGAUGGCAACAUCAGCUACCUUUCACUGAGUCCCCUCUAUGCGGAUGCAUUUGGAUACAAGCUGUAUUUGCCUCACGAAGCUGUUGUGGGUCCCGUUACCUAGAUAAGGAAACUGAGGCUUGGAGAGGUUAAAUAGCCUGAGGCCACGCAGCCAGUGGAUGGGAAAGAUUCCAUUUCAAGGUUGGCCGUCUGAGUACAAAGCCAAUUCUGCCCAACUGUGUGUAGUUUGUAGUUAUAAAUCGAACCAAGUUUCCAAGUUGGACGGUCCUCUGAGCUAGGAAGUGGGGGCCGUCAUGUCCUUUGGCUCCUGUCUUGUGAUACAGGCCUCUCCAAAGUAUGGGCAUCUCUCAGCAUAGACAAUAAAAGCUAGUGAAAUGAAGCAUAUAUUGAGGGAGGCCCUGGGCACUAGAUUAAGCAGUCUGUGAUUCUCGUUUGUUCAUCUGAACAUUUCCUUCACGAGAUUCUUCACACGAGGCAAAUACGGCAGGGAAGGGCCUGGCUCAGAAAAACACCCUAGUGGCCGUGAGACAGAAAGCUGCAAGGGAGCGGGUGCGGAAGGGUCUGGUCUUUAUUGUGAUUCUCCUGUGGGCAUCAGGUGGGCUCUGGGAGGUUGACAGAGUGAGAAGAACGUUCGGAUCUGUCACAACCCAGGCCGGUGUCCCUGGGCAAGUGAUUCUGCCCAGGCAUAGAAAGGAGCAAACGAGUAAUUGAUGCCAAAAAGUCCAGCCCCGGAUAAACACCUGCAGCAGCAACAUAGUAUGUUCAUCAGAUUGGAAGCUCGAGACGCUGCGCAGAUGCGGUGCCUCUCACCCCCUCCCCCAACAGCACUGGGCUGGGAAUCAGGCCUGAACGCUGCUCACUCUCUGUGAUUUUCAGCACUGCCUUAAGGCCCGUCCCUUGCUUCCUUUAUAAAGUGGGGAAAUUACAGCAUUAGAUUUUGCAUGUGUGUUAAGCCCUGUGUGUAGACACAAAGUGCCUUGUUACUAUUCUGUGAUUAGGAAAAUACUGCACGUAGCUGCUUAGAAUACUUUUCUUGCUCAUUUCUGAUUUAAAAAAAAUAAUGAUCCCUACCCUUAAGACCUUUGUGUUUUCUCUUCCCUUUUGCUUCUUGGUCGGUUCCCGUGGUCCGUCUGAUUCUGCCAAACCACAGUCGGGUGAAGCCGGGGGGAGCUCAAUGGAGUUGAGAGUGCGUGGUGCUGUGACUGUGAUACAGAGUAAUGGGAGGCAGAGCCUGGCGAUCCCAUCCUGGAGUCAUUCCGUGGCCACAGGUGGAAGAUCAUGGCCCACCCAGGAUACCACGCUGAAGUUUCUCGUCAUGUCUUCUCAGGCUCCUCUUGGCUGUGGUGGUUUCUCAGAUUUCCCUUGUUUUGAUGACCUUGACAGUUUUGAGGAGGACGGGUUAAGUAUUUUGUAGAAAGUCCCUCAACUGGAAUUUGUCUGAGGUUUUUCUCGCAAUUAGACCGGGGUUGUGGGUUUGGGGGAGGAAGACCCCCAAGGUGACGUGUGAUUCUCAUCCGAUCAUAUCACGGGUACUUGCUAUCAUAUGAUUUAUGCUGAUGUUGACCUUGAUCACCUGGCUGUGGUGUGUGUUUCAGGUUUCUCCACUGUAAAUGCUACUCAUUUUGGGCCUUUUUUGACCAUAGGUCUAGAGCCGUGUUCUCCAGUUGGCUUUCUCAGCAAUAAAGCUGAGAUUUUGACCUCCACUGAUCUAUCUGUUAUGUGUUAUUUCUCGAUUGAUUCCAUACCCGAGAAGGGAAAAAAAUAAAUGAAUGUUAAGUGUUAAAUCCCUAAGAUCUCAAUAGCAUCGAUGUGGCAAAAUACUGUUCAUCUUUUAAGGUUUACCAGGCAUCACCUCCUCUUUGAAGCCUUCCCUGAUCUCGCCAGGUGGAGUCAACGUGUCCUAGUUGUUCCCACAACCUCCACCUACAUCUCUCAUGGGACUUCUCACUUGUCAUGAUUCAUUCUCCCUGCUCUUUCCUCCACAGGAUUAUUAGCCUCUCAAGGUCACUGGCCACGUGUAUUAAUCUCUAUGUCCUUGCAACCUGAUUUAGAGUCUGGAAUGUAGAAGAUACUUAGUAAAUGUUUGCAGAAUGAAGAACCAUUCUCUCCAAAUCAAUGAAGGUGACUUCUCCAGGAUGGAGACUCAGUGGGACUCCUUUUGGCUGGAGUAAAGCAGCCCUGAUGACCAGCUCCAUUCUCUUUACAGUUCCGUGGGAAGGAGGCAGGGCUGCAUAGGUGGUGCGGCUGAAAUAAUACUUAAG